UUCCAGCUCCAAUAGCGUAUAUUAAAGUUGUUGCGGUUAAAAAGCUCGUAGUUGGAUUUCAGUUCCGGACUGACGGUUCACCGCCCGGUGCCUACUGUCACGCUCCGAACAGCCGCACCGCCGGCUUGCACGGGGUGCUCUUCAUCGAGUGUCCCGAGUGGCCGGCACGUUUACUUUGAAAAAAUUAGAGUGCUCAGAGCAGGCUCCUUGAAUGGCCUGAAUGUCUAUGCAUGGAAUAAUGGAAUAGGACCUCGGUUCUAUUUUGUUGGUUUUCGGAACCCGAGGUAAUGACUAAUAGGAACAGGCGGGGGCAUUCGUAUUGCGACGCUAGAGGUGAAAUUCUUGGACCGUCGCAAGACGAACUACUGCGAAAGCAUUUGCCAAGGAUGUUUUCAUUAAUCAAGAACGAAAGUUAGAGGUUCGAAGGCGAUCAGAUACCGCCCUAGUUCUAACCAUAAACGAUGCUGACUAGCGAUCCGCCGGCGUUAUUCCCAUGACCCGGCGGGCAGCUUCCGGGAAACCAAAGUCUUUGAGUUCCGGGGGAAGUAUGGUUGCAAAGCUGAAACUUAAAGGAAUUG
rnacentral:rRNA from 1 species